rnacentral:rRNA from 1 species
GACGAACGCUGGCGGCGUGCUGUAACACAUGCAAGACGAACGGAGAAUUUCAUACGGUUUACUUAGAGGAAUUUUUAGUGACGGACGGGUGAGUAACGCGUGGGUAACCUACCCAUAAACUCGGGACAACCCUUGGAAACGAGGGCUAAUACCGAAUAAGCUYUAGGCUUGGCAUCAAGCUUAAAGAAAAGGUGGCCUCUGAAWAUGCUACCGAUUAUGGAUGGACCCGCGUCUGAUUAGCUAGUUGGUGGGGUAAAGGCCUACCAAGGCGACGAUCAGUAGCCGGCCUGAGAGGGUGAACGGCCACACUGGGACUGAGACACGGCCCAGACUCCUACGGGAGGCAGCAGUGGGGAAUCUUCCGCAAUGGACGAAAGUCUGACGGAGCAACGCCGCGUGUAUGAUGAAGGUCUUCGGAUUGUAAAGUACUGUCUUUGGGGAAGAAUGACUGGCUUGAAAAUAUUGAGUCAGUAUGACGGUACCCAAGGAGGAAGCCCCGGCUAACUACGUGCCAGCAGCCGCGGUAAUACGUAGGGGGCAAGCGUUGUCCGGAAUUAUUGGGCGUAAGGGCGCGUANGCGGAUAUUAAGU